GGGCGUGUGAUGGGUAGAUUUUGCUUUGCAUAUGAUUGGGAGCCAAUGGUUUUGGUCGAGGAGAUUUUUCUUUUUUUCGUUUAGCGAUUUCAGCCUUUAAUUUCUCUGCAAGGUCCUAAAGGCUAAAGGGCGGCAAUGUGAUGCGGUGUCUUCAGUAGUGCUGUUGUGUUGGUUGCUUGGUUGUGCUAUGAAGAUAUGGCAGCACGCACGUUGUUUGUGAAUGAAAGGAUAUAUAGAUGGACACGAGUAAAAUAGACUAGAUUCAAAGUCAAAUUGACUAGAUUCACUUACUUGUUUGGUUUGUGGAAUG
rnacentral:lncRNA from 1 species